ACCCGCACAAGCAGCGGAGCGUGUGGUUUAAUUCGAUGCUACACGAAGAACCUUACCAGGGUUUGACAUACUGGUGGUAGGAAUCCGAAAGGUGACCGACCUUCGGGAGCUUGUACAGGUGCUGCAUGGCUGUCGUCAGCUCGUGUCGUGAGAUGUCCGGUUAAGUCCGCUAACGAGCGCAACCCUCGCUGUGUGUUACAAGUGUCACACGGUACUGCCGGUCUUAAGCCGGAGGGAGGUGGGGAUGACGUCAAGUCAGCAUGGCCUUUAUGUCCUGGGCUACACACACGCUACAAUGGCCAACACAAUAGGUUGCUAAGCCGCGAGGUGGAGCCAAUCCUCAAAGUUGGUCUCAGUUCAGAUUGCAGGCUGCAACCCGCCUGCAUGAAGAUGGAGUUGCUAGUAACCGCAGGCCAGCUAUACUGCGGUGAAUACGUUCCCGGGGCUU
rnacentral:rRNA from 1 species